GGAUGAAUGAAUGAAUACAAAAACAAUAUCUUCCUCCAAGGAUUGAUGUGAGGCAUAGAGGUCUAGGAUGCCUGGAGCACAUCGCUGCCCUCUGCUGGAGACCACUUGAGGACAAUGGCUUGAGUAAAUGAGAUCGGCGGCCGCGAGCCGAGCGUUCUCUUUGAUUACUCUGUCACGAUAUCACCAGCCAAAGAAUUUUGCAAGGAAACGCAAGAGAUUCUCUAAAAGUUCACCCGGACGCAGAUGCACUGAAUAAUGUGGGGGUGGAGGAACAUUGGGGGUGGAAUUUGAAUUGAUGAAAGCUCCAGAAUGUUUGUAGCAAAUAGAUGAGGGUUGUAAAGACUUAAUGCGACUUCAACAUGCCUGGUUUACUCCAGAGGGAGUCUGGCUGGAUAUCUUAAUAC